GUAAUACUCCCUCAGUCCGAAAUUACUCAUCACGAAAAUGGAUGCAUCUAGACGUAUUUUACUUCUAGAUACAUCCAUUUUUAUUCAUUUCCGCGACAAGUAGUUCGGGACGGAAGGAGUAUAUA
rfam:Triticum aestivum genome assembly, contig: Triticum_aestivum_CS42_TGACv1_scaffold_211938_3AS